AGGACCUUCCUGAGCCCCAGGCUGGUUCGUCAGCAAUUUUCCCAGAGCGUAUUUCCUAAGGCACCCAGAGAGGCAUCAGGAGCAGAUUUCUGCAGGCUAACCUCUGUCUGGAGCGAGCCCUUGAAGGAAACCUACGCCCCAGUAGGUUUUGCUAUCAGUGGAGCUCGCCGCUACGCAGGAUUCCUGGCUGCAGAUCAGUUGCAUCACUCCCCUGAUGUCAUCCUGGCAUAUACCACCUCCAGCAUUCUUCUCUGCCCGGGCGAACGAAGUUAAAAAGAAAAACUUUGGAAGGACUUUCUUCAGCACAAGUGAGGAAGCAGCUGUUUACCAU